ensembl:lncRNA
UAGAUCAUCUCAAAGGUUCUUUCCAAUUCCUAUGACCACUGGAAGGUGAAAAGGUAGUAUAUCUCCUAAUGCAGGACGGAUCACUUGGAUAAUGGGGCAAGCAAAGGUCCUUUGUAAGAUCUUUUGUCUCGUUGGCUUUUUCUUUCUCCAGGAGGUGUCUGGAGAAGUGAUGGCAAAAAAGACUGACUCUUGAAGCCUGAUACCCCAACAUCUCCAUCUGCCAGUGCAGCUGAUCUGACCUGAUGGCUUUUUAUUUCUUACUGAGAAUAGCUAAGGCCCUCUGGCUCUUGACUGUUUUGAAUGCCAUGGAAAAUUCAGUGACAAGAAAGACGAAGAACUCCUCUUCAGCAUGACCACAGUAGGAGAGUCUCACCUUCAGCAUGGGAUGCGUCUCAGAUUUAAGAAUCAAGAAGCCACGUUGGUGAUUCAGAACAUCCAAUUUUCCCAUUGUGGAGUCUACCGGUGGCAUCUUUCAGGCCAAGGGUCCUCAAAUAAGUUCACUACACUAACUGUUUCAGAACCCCCUACAUCUCCAAGGAAAAUGGCUGUCUGAUCUGCAGAGCAACCAAUGUAAAGGCAGGGAGAAGAAUCAUCUGGUCCAAUGACCUGCCAAGAAGGCAGACGGAGUUCACAUCCACUCAGGAUGCCACAGGCCUAUUCAAUCUCAGCAGCUCUCAACUCUGGAAUGACAGUUUCUAUAGUAAUCCACCAUGCUGUAAAGUCAUGGAUGAGAAGGGCUCCCAAGAACUUUGUGCACAAACUUGCUAUACCAGUGCCAUCGUGGAAAAGUCCUCAGGUACUCCAACAACAAAUCAAAGCAAUACAUGGUGGCUAAUGAUCAUGCCAAUUGCUAUUCUGGCUUUGUCUCUAAUUGCAAUCUACAGAUGUCUAAAAAAGAGACGGGUGUUGACUGGUCCUUCAUCCAUGACUGUCAUCUAAUCAUAUUGUUUUCCAUCAUCUAUGAUAUAUCAGACUUUUUUUUGUUUUGUUUUGGAGAGGCAAUUGGAGUUAAGUGACUUGCCCAGGGUCACACAGCUAGUAAGCGUCAAGCAGCUGGUCUGAGGCCAGAUUUGAACUCAGGUCCUCCUGACAUCAGGGCCAGUGCUCUAUCCACUGCACCACCUAGCUGCCCCAUUAGUAGGCUCUUGGCUAGAUUGUAAGAAUCUAAACCCGCGGAUAGAUUAUAAGAAUCUGAGAAGUGGCUAGAUUUUAAGAAUCUAAGCCCAGACUUUUUAACUAAUCAUUCUUUUUGUUUGUUUGUUUGUUUGUUUUUCUGUCAAGGCAGUGGGGUUAAGUGAUUUGUCUAAGGUCACACAGCUAGUGAGUGUUAUGUGUCUGAGGUCACAUUUGAACUCAGGUCCUCCUGAAACCAGGGUCGGUGCUCUAUCCACUGGGCCACCUAAGUGUCCCCUUAACUAAUCAUUCUGUAUUAUGUUUCCUGUCCUCUGUUCUCUUGUACUUCCCAAAACUAUAUGAAUUCUAUUCUGGUGUUUAUUUAGAUAUUUUUGUGUUUUUUUUCAAAAAAUUUUAGUUGCAUGUUCACUUUAUUGAUCUGAUGUUUCCUUGUUUUCCUGAUGUAAUUUGUAAUUAUAUUCAUAUAGUUCCUGGGUUUGUCUUAGCAUGUAGACUCCAAAAUAUAUUAUAAUCUCUACAAUUAUUUUCAAAGGAAUUUCUGUUUCUGUCUCUUCCUGCUGGGUUUUGUUAGUAAUAUAUGGAAAUGCUAACGAUUUAUGUGGGUUUAUUUUAUAUCCUGUAACUUUGCCAAAGUUGUUUCAACUAGUUUUUUUAGUUGAUUCUUUAGGGUUCUCUAAAUAUACCAGCAUAUCAUCUGCAAAGAGUGAAAGUUUUGUUUCCUCAUUGCCUAUUCUUAUUUCUUCAAUUUUUACUGCUAUAGCUAGCAUUUCUAGUACAAUAUUGAAUGAUAGUGGCAAUAAUGGACUUCCUUAUUUCACCCUUGAUCUAAGGCUUCUAUUUUAUCCUCAUUACAAAUAAUGCUUGUUCUUAGUUUUAGAUAGAUACUACUUAUCAUUUUAAGAAAAGCUCCAUGUAGAUAUUUUACAUGCUUUCACAUGUGUAACCUAUAUCAAAUUGCUUACUGUCUCAAGGAGGGAGCAGGGCUUCCUGGAUAGAAUUUGGAGCUCAAGACUUAAAAAAAUGAAUGUUACAAUUGCUUUUAUAUGUAAUAGGAGAAAAAUGAAAUGUUAUUAUUAAAAAAUGAAAUAAGCAUAAAAAGAAAAGCUCAUUUAUUCCUUGGCUUUAUAUCUAUUGCUACAAUAAUAUAAUUUUUGUUGAUAUAGUCAAUUAUGCUUAUAGUUUUCCUAAUACUGAACCAGUCCUUCAUUACUGAUAUAAAUCCCAUUUGGUCAUAGUGUGUGAUCUUUGUGGUUUAUUGCUGUAGGCUCCUUGCUAGUACUUUAUUUAAUUUUUUUGCAUUAAUAUUCAUCAGGGGAACUAGUUUAUAGUUUUCUUUCUCUGUUUUUGCUCUCCUUAUUUUUGGUAUCAAAACUACAUUUGUAUCACAGAAGGAAUUUGGUACAACUCCUUUAUUUUUUUCAAAUAGCUUAUAUAGUAUUGGAAUUAAUCAUUCUUUAUAUAUUUGGUAGAAUUCAUUUAGAAAUUCAUUGAGUUCUAACUUUUCAUGCAAAUAAAGAUAGAUCUUAACAAUUAGAGAAAUAUUAA